rnacentral:lncRNA from 1 species
GGGGGACACCCUCCAAACUCGUGUUGGAGAUGAGAGGCCAGGGAGGAGGUGGAGGGAGAUCAAUUGAACGAUUAUGAGACUGUUGUUUCUUCUCUCUGGCCCCUUGAAGGAGGCGGUUACCAAGCAUCAGUGAGCAGUUAAUUUGGGAAGAGAACUGAUAUUUUCUGCCUUCAAGACAGCUUAGACGGCGCCUGCAAGUAACUGCAGGAGGAUCAUAAUGUGCCCCAUAAUAAUGACAAUGUGCAUACAGCUCCCACUUUGCCCGAGCUCUUAAGGUCCAGUCAAAUGCAAUUCCCGCAGAUUAGUUUAAUGCACACCCACUCUUGAGACAGAGCAAUGUUUCGUCCCCAUCGUCCCACCUACUAUUAGGUAUUCAGCUCUCCUGAAAAAUCUGGAGGUUAGGACAAUAAAGACAAGUGAGCAGAGGCUAAAAGCCUUAAAUUCCACAAAGGUGGUGCUCUUACACCUGCUGCCUCCUACUGGGCAGCCGAGCUGGGUCCAGGUGGGACCUGACUCUGGCUGAGGCACAGGCAGCGCUUGCCUCUGAGCCAUCUACCCCCUUGAUUGGCGGAAGGAUGGGUGCCAAGUUCAAACAGGCCAAUCAGAGUUCUUCCCUAGAAGUUUUGAAGCUGGGACCAAUAACAGCAUGAGUCAGUCCCUCCUUCGUGCUGGAAGUAAGGAAUCGUUCAUGGACAAUGUUUCAUUCACCUCAUGGAUGAAACCAGCCCACAGUGGGAGGGAUUUAGUCAAUACUCAGAGAGAAGCUCGUUUCAGAGAUGGAGGGUGAGUCCUGGUGGGCAUUUAAGACCCCGCUUCCAGUUAUUCCUAAAACAUGGAAGAGGGACACUGAGAAGAGCUCAACAAGUUGUGCCCUGCAUAACUCCAGCAAGUGCCAUUUGUAUGGUCACCUUGUGAUAGUGGCCCCUGGGGUUGUGCAGUGUGCAGCUUGCACAACUGUACGUGGUGACCCCAUCUGGCAGCAAUCCCUACCCUGUCUUCAGCUUACUUGGAGAUACUCCAAUACACUGUUAUUAAACUCUCCUUUUUGCCAAAUCCAGUUGGAAUUGGAUUUAUGCCACUUAAAUCAAAUGAGAGCUAAAUAAUAUGAUAAUAGAUAUCCCGAACCACAAAGAAAAAAAAAGAUGUCACCUCCUUCCCCCCAGCUUAUUCUGGAUAGCAGGAAGGAAGUACCUGUUUUUCUUAGCUAUUAACUCUGAAUUUACCAGACCUUCAGGGAGUCAGGGAGGGGGAAAAGAAGAGUAAACCUAAUUUGCACCCCGACCCCAGCCUCAGUCCUGGGGUGCCAGGCCCCGCAGAGCUGCCAGGCCAUGCAGAAGGCGGGUGAAUGCAAACCAUUUCCAGAAGGCCUUUGAGCUGGCUGCGUGGGAACAGCUGCACGGCUCCCUGAUGGGUGUCCGUGUCAACGCGGACUCAACAUUUUCCAGGGGAAUGGGACUGAGAGAACGUCGUGCUCCGGCCAGAUGCAGCUCCAGAGGGUGGGGAGACGCCAAGGAGGAGGGAAGAGAAUUCAAACAAUCCCCAGGAAUGUAAAUAAGUGCUGUACAAAGAGACGUGGGUGGUGCAAUGGGAUUAACGUGGAUUUUGCAAUCAGCCUGAUCUGGGGUCACGUCCCGGCUCCGUGGGAGCAUAGAGUAGCCACGUCAAUUCUGGAAGCCUCGUUUCCUCGUCAAAAAUAGGGAUAAUAGUGGGGUCCGGCCCCGUGGCCAAGUGGUUAAGUCCGCGCGCUCCACUUCAGCGGCCCAGGGUUUCGCCGGUUUGGAUCCUGGGCACGGACGUGGCACCACUCAUAGGGCCAUACUGAGGUGGCAUCCCACAUGCCACAACUAGAAGGACCCACAACUAAAAAAAUAUAUAUAUACAACUAUGUACUGG